rnacentral:lncRNA from 1 species
AUGUGCUGAGCAUGGGGUGCCCCUGAGUCAUCAGGGAGAGCGGCCGACAGGGUCUUGCAGCUUAGAGGCAAACUUCCUAAGCGCAGGCAACAGAGGGGCAGAUGUAGAGCAAGGCUGUGGUCAGAAAGGCUUUGUCCUACCCCAGGACUCUUGAGCCAGGGCCCAUUUUCUCCCCUUGUGGAAUGGCCAGAUGACUGGCCAUUCGUGAACAAGUCACAGAGGCCUAGGUUAGGGGGAGAUCUUGAGGCUGCGGGGGUGGUGGCUCAGGAAUCCAGAGUCUGGGCCCACAGGAAGGAACACGUCAUGGCUCUGUUGUCUCCCCAUCGGCCUCGACAAGGACAAACAUUUCCGCUCCCGGCGCAGAGUUAGGGUGGGGCUUGGAUGACUUCCUCAGUUCAGGGCUAUGUGCGGGGGAGGGGAGGCCCACUGGCUCAGCUGGUAGGCACCAGGCCUUAUAAAGUGGCAGUGACUCGGCAGUGAACCCCGAGUCCAGCCUCGUGACCUUUGCUGACCCAAGUGUCCUGGGGCUUGUCCCUAGCUGGCUACACCUCUAGUACCUAGGUUUCC